AGUGGGGUUAGCUCUAGCCAGGUUAGCCAUAAUUAGCACUACCAGUUGAUAACAAUGCAUUCCUCUAAUUUUGUCUUGUAUU